rnacentral:misc_RNA from 1 species
CUAGAGAGCGUUGCCUAGCUUGUCACAGUCGCCAUAUUGAGACUGAGGCCGAAACCGUUAUUUUCGUCACGUCUUACAGUCCCAUACAUUAUUUGCCUUUAUAAAACUAAUUGGUGUUAGUAAACCAGAAACCGCGGGGAUUUCAAGCACAUAAUUUAUUAUAAACUCCGAAGGAAGCAGAUGAGACUUUAGUCUUACAUUAUUAAAAACAAGCAAGCUUUUUAAACCAAACCGGAACAAAGUUCCUUCACCUAAUUAGUCAUGGAUGCUGAAGAAUUCUGUUUGAGAUGGAAUAAUCACCACCAUGUUUUAGUUAGUGUUCUCGAUAAAUUGCUGGAAAAGGAAUCAAUGUGUGAUGUGACUCUAGCUGCUGACCAUCAAUUUGUAAGAGUUCACAGAUUAGUAUUAUGUGCCUGUAGCAAUUACUUUGAGGAAAUGCUAAGUAAACAAGCAGACAAGCAGGCGUUUAUAUUCCUGAAAGAUGUCAGUUUUUCCGAUCUCAGGGCCCUUGUUGAUUACAUGUACAAAGGAGAAGUAAAUGUUGCCCAAGAACAACUGGCAAGCUUCCUACAAACAGCUGAAGCACUUGAUAUUAAAGGUUUAGCAUACAAAGAAGGAGACCAGUCAAAAUCCAAAUCAAGUCAAAAUGUCAGGUCUUCUGCUUUAAAAAGGACAUUGAAUGAAUCUGUACCUACUUCGUCAGUUGUAUCAACUUCCAGUAAUCCCCAAAGAAAUGACAAUGAUGCUUCUCAUCCACCUAUUCAAAACCUAUCCUCCUCAAGACCUAAGCCACCUCCUGCCAAGAAAGCACACAUUCUACCAUCAGAAUCUCCAACCAAUCCACCAAAUACAGACCCAGAUGACCAUUUUGUUGUUGUCGACCCAAAACUAGAAUCUGAAAUAGACUCGGACCAUAUGGAAGACCAACUCGAAGACAACGGACCAGAAUGGGCAUCACGAGCAUUAGACUGCGACGAUGAUUGGAGCACUUCCGACCCCGGCAUGAUAUCUAUUGUACCUAAUUCGACCCGCGAAAUCACUUUCAGCUCCACUGUAUCGGAAUCAAAACUUGCGGACAAUGUUGCCGGUCCAUCAGGAACACAAUCCAAGACCAACAAUUCAUCCAGUACAACAGCAUCUCGAGGCGCUGAAGAGAACGGUCCAUCUCGGGUCGCCUGCCCAAAUUGUCACCGGACUUAUAAGUAUCGAAGGCUUUUGUACCGUCACCUUCGUCAAGGCUGCGAUGUGGCGACACCGCAAACCAUGGCCAAUUGUCGCAAUGCCCCCCCAAAUCAUAUGCCCGUCUUCCGAUGCCAUUUUUGCCCCUAUGUCACGUUCAUUAAGGGAUUUUUAAAUUCACACACUCAGACCGAACACGCCCAUUAGACCCCAUCCAAGUCCCCCACUUGAGUUACGUAUGUAUUCGUGUUGUAACUCAGGAGUCAGGAAGGCCCUAUUAUCUUGACAACGGUGACGAGAUGGACGGUCAAUCUCGCGUCGGUUGCCCCAAUUGCCAUCGGACCUAUAAGUCCAACAAAUUUUUGUAUCGCCAUCUUCGACAAGGUUGCGGCGAAAUAGCUUCCGGCUUCCGCGAAGAUCAACCGUGCCAUCUG